rnacentral:tRNA from 1 species
GGAGAGGUGGCUGAGCGGUUGAAGGCGCUCGCCUCGAAAGCGAGUAGGCGGCUAGACCCUGCCUCGCGGGUUCGAAUCCCGCCCUCUCCGCCA